GACAUAAUCAAGAUAUCUUAAUAUAUUAUAGAAGACAUACUAUACUAACAGUGAAGAGGAAAACAUGUCUUAGGCCUUAACGUUUGAGUUAUUGUGUAAUAAGGAUAGCAUAUGAACCAUCGCCCUGUAUAAACUCAACAAUUGAAAAUUGCUAAUCUUGUGCUGGUUUGUAUGGCACACUGACCAACAUUAACAGUGAACACCCUAGUGUUGAAGCAACAUAGAAGAAUUUGUGUGCCCCGUUCAAACAUUCAUCGACUCCGUGUGAUAGUUGGUUUCGGCAGAAGAGAGAUAUACGACUGUGAGGAUACACAAAACUAUCAGCAACGAAUUAAAGUGGUUACUUGUAUAUCUGUUGGGAGAAUGAUCCUGCUGGCUUCUUAAGAGAUUUAACUUCAGAAUAAUCUAAAUUAUAAAAGUUGCAAUUACAAUCAAGACCAUGAACAGAACCAUACCUCACGAAUAAUGAAAAGGUAUUUACUUCAAAGCUCCAAAAUGACUUGCUUCCAGCUGCUCUUUGUUCAAAAAAAAGAAGCUCCACAGCUUAUGCCCAAAGUUGCUUCUUGAAGCUAAAACAAUCCAACAAAAAAGGUUUCGUAAGAACAAAUAGACAAUCUCAGAAGCUAGCAAUCCAAACCACAAACUUCAAUGCUUAUGUUUAUCGAACAAUAUUAUGUUCCUAAGAAUUGUGAAUACCUACACUCCUAUAACCAAUUUUCUGAUGUACAAAAAAAGAUUCCUAAACGAUCGGAAGACUGAAAAGCAUUCAAAUUUGUUGAAGAAUAUUAGAUUUUCCCUAUUAGUAUAAGAAUAAGUUUCAAUAUUUUUUCUUAUUAGUAUAGUAAUAGUACUUAGAAUUUUCAUAGUUAAUGAAAGAUUCUCCUAUCCUAACUCUAUAUAAACUUAUGUAAUCCUUCAUAUCUUAAUACAAUUGAAAGAUUUCUCUCAUAAAUUCAAUAUAGCAUCAGAGCCGCCGGCUACAUCUUCCGUUGCCGUCGGUGUUAAUCUCACCGUUAGUUCACCAUGACUCCUCUUGUCAGGGCGAUUGAUUCCAUAAACUUAAAUUGAUUCUUACGGAGCAUCCAUAAACUAAGAUCGAUUUUAACUCUAAGUUACCAAAUAUUAUAGCGACAUCAAUACUUAUGAAGAAAAAUAUGGUAAUCAUCUUCUAUGCUAAGAAUGCCACAACUACUAUUACCAUGGUGACAAUAGUAUCAUUGAAUCAUCAUUGUCGCAGGUUAAAAUACCCUUUUGAAAGGAAUUUCAGAUUUCUUUUCUAUUAGAAUUAAAAAGAUUGAAUUUGUUUUAUUAGAAAUUAGUAGAUGAAUAUAUAAUACUUAACUACUAACCAUGACUAAUUAUUAAUUUUCAAAAAGUAUUUAACUAAUUAUAAAAUUUAAAUACUCUUACUACUUAAUUAACAUAUUAGAAUAAUAUACUAAUUACAAUUUGAUAAUUGGUUAAGUAAUAAAAUCAUAUUAAAAUAGUAUACUAAUUACAAUUAAAUAAUUAACAGUUCGGUUGCUACCUGGGGUUAGGGCGAGAACUCUCCCACGUUUGGGACUUCCGUCCAGCCGUCAGCUGCACAAAACCAGCAGCUAGCCAUCACAAAUCUCAGCCAAAACCCCCGAUAUCCAAACUCGUUCUCAAGCAACACUCAAUCAAUCAUCUACCGCUACCCUCCUACCCCUGAAACCAAUCCCUAAAGGUCUUCGAUCGUCGAGUCCAUAGCUGCAGAUUUUGGGGACCAAUCUGACCAGGCGAUCAAAGAAAACAAUGCGGAGGCCGACAUCGCAACUCUCUGUGUACGCGAUCUCUCGUUAGAGGACAAGCAAUCAGAGAAAUCAUCACUGGUCAAUGUACGAGUGGAACAGACGGGUUUACCCUCGACAACCCGCCCGGCAACAUAAAUCUUUCCAGGGGUUGUGGAUACUAAAUCAUCUUCGACAACUUCCUCCCCUGCGGCUGGUCUAACUUUGGUGUCUUAUCUCUUGUUUUGUUUCUCGUCGAACUAUGUUUAUGUAGCUGUUAAUUAGUAUUUUUAUUUUGUUUGUUGGUCAGAACCAAUUUUGUUGGUUCCUUGAGUUAUAUUAAAUGAGUUACGAUAUUGAGGAGCGUUAGGAUAUACAGUUGAUUAAUUAUAUAGUUAAUUGUUUUUCCCGUUGUAAUUUCUAUACAUUGUACUUUUUGGAUUACCAAC
rnacentral:lncRNA from 1 species